rnacentral:tRNA from 1 species
GUUAUCGGAAAUCGGGACCUUGGCUACGAACCAAGGGGUCGUGGGUUCGAAUCCUGCCGGGCGCGCCA